rnacentral:rRNA from 1 species
UACGAAGGGGGCUAGCGUUGUUCGGAAUCACUGGGCGUAAAGCGCACGUAGGCGGAUCUUUUAAGUCAGAGGUGAAAUCCCAAGGCUCAACCUUGGAACUGCCUUUGAUACUGGGGAUCUUGAGUCCGGGAGAGGUGAGUGGAACUGCGAGUGUAGAGGUGAAAUUCGUAGAUAUUCGCAAGAACACCAGUGGCGAAGGCGGCUCACUGGCCCGGUACUGACGCUGAGGUGCGAAAAGCGUGGGGAGCAAACAGGG